GUGAACGCUGGCGGUAGGCCUAACACAUGCAAGUCGAACGGCGGCACCGUAAGAGCUUGCUCUUACGGGUGGCGAGUGGCGGACGGGUGAGGAAUACAUCGGAAUCUACUUUUUCGUGGGGGAUAACGUAGGGAAACUUACGCUAAUACCGCAUACGACCUACGGGUGAAAGCAGGGGAUCUUCGGACCUUGCGCGAUUGAAUGAGCCGAUGUCGGAUUAGCUAGUUGGCGGGGUAAAGGCCCACCAAGGCGACGAUCCGUAGCUGGUCUGAGAGGAUGAUCAGCCACACUGGAACUGAGACACGGUCCAGACUCCUACGGGAGGCAGCAGUGGGGAAUAUUGGACAAUGGGCGCAAGCCUGAUCCAGCCAUACCGCGUGGGUGAAGAAGGCCUUCGGGUUGUAAAGCCCUUUUGUUGGGAAAGAAAAGCAGCAGGUUAAUACCCCGCUGUUCUGACGGUACCCAAAGAAUAAGCACCGGCUAACUUCGUG
rnacentral:rRNA from 1 species